CAUUUUUAUACGCCCGUCUAUGACGGGACGUAUUAUGGUAUACCCCGCGUCCGUCUGUCCGUCCGUCCGUCUGUCCGUCCGUAUGUCUGUUAAUGUCGUACGCUACGUCAAAUAUCCUUUGACAGAUUUUCUUCAAAUUUUAACACAAUCUUAAUAUUGAUAAACCCUGAUCCCCUUUCGUUUUUGACGGAAUUCUGAAUUGUCGUUCCAGAGUUAUGGGACUUUGUUCGUCAAAAUUUCGUGAUUUCAUUGAAUGUCCUACUGUAGCUAUAUAAAAAUGUUAAAGUUGUUAUAACUUUGGUAUGCUUGGACCUAGAGUCUUGAAACUUGACAUGAAGGUUGGCCAGAACUAGUAAGUAACCACUGGACAUUUCAAGGUCAUUCAUUUGAAGGUCAAGGUCACUGUGACCUUGAAUGUAAAAAUGUUAAAGUUCUUAUUUCAUGUUAUAACUUUG